AAAAGGUGCUAUAAUGCAAGUCGAGCGGACCGACGGGAGCUUGCUCCCUUAGGUCAGCGGCGGACGGGUGAGUAACACGUGGGUAACCUGCCUGUAAGACUGGGAUAACUCCGGGAAACCGGGGCUAAUACCGGAUGCUUGAUUGAACCGCAUGGUUCAAUCAUAAAAGGUGGCUUUUAGCUACCACUUACAGAUGGACCCGCGGCGCAUUAGCUAGUUGGUGAGGUAACGGCUCACCAAGGCGACGAUGCGUAGCCGACCUGAGAGGGUGAUCGGCCACACUGGGACUGAGACACGGCCCAGACUCCUACGGGAGGCAGCAGUAGGGAAUCUUCCGCAAUGGACGAAAGUCUGACGGAGCAACGCCGCGUGAGUGAUGAAGGUUUUCGGAUCGUAAAACUCUGUUGUUAGGGAAGAACAAGUACCGUUCGAAUAGGGCGGUACCUUGACGGUACCUAACCAGAAAGCCACGGCUAACUACGUGCCAGCAGCCGCGGUAAUACGUAGGUGGCAAGCGUUGUCCGGAAUUAUUGGGCGUAAAGCGCGCGCAGGCGGUUUCUUAAGUCUGAUGUGAAAGCCCCCGGCUCAACCGGGGAGGGUCAUUGGAAACUGGGGAACUUGAGUGCAGAAGAGGAGAGUGGAAUUCCACGUGUAGCGGUGAAAUGCGUAGAGAUGUGGAGGAACACCAGUGGCGAAGGCGACUCUCUGGUCUGUAACUGACGCUGAGGCGCGAAAGCGUGGGGAGCGAACAGGAUUAGAUACCCUGGUAGUCCACGCCGUAAACGAUGAGUGCUAAGUGUUAGAGGGUUUCCGCCCUUUAGUGCUGCAGCAAACGCAUUAAGCACUCCGCCUGGGGAGUACGGUCGCAAGACUGAAACUCAAGGAAUUGACGGGGGCCCGCACAAGCGGUGGAGCAUGUGGUUUAAUUCGAAGCAACGCGAGAACCUUACCAGGUCUUGACAUCCUCUGACAACCCUAG
rnacentral:rRNA from 1 species